AGGGCUGUAGCUCGGUGGUAGGGCAUUUGCUUUGCACGCAGGAGGUCCUAGGUUCAAUCCCUGACAACUCUG